rnacentral:rRNA from 1 species
AGUGAACGCUGGCGGUAGGCCUAACACAUGCAAGUCGAACGGCAGCACAGUAAGAGCCUGCUCUUACGGGUGGCGAGUGGCGGACGGGUGAGGAAUACAUCGGAAUCUACUUUUUCGUGGGGGAUACCGUAGGGAAACUUACGCUAAUACCGCAUACGACCUACGGGUGAAAGCAGGGGAUCUUCGGACCUUGCGCGAUUGAAUGAGCCGAUGUCGGAUUAGCUAGUUGGCGGGGUAAAGGCCCACCAAGGCGACGAUCCGUAGCUGGUCUGAGAGGAUGAUCAGCCACACUGGAACUGAGACACGGUCCAGACUCCUACGGGAGGCAGCAGUGGGGAAUAUUGGACAAUGGGCGCAAGCCUGAUCCAGCCAUACCGCGUGGGUGAAGAAGGCCUUCGGGUUGUAAAGCCCUUUUGUUGGGAAAGAAAAGCAGCAGGUUAAUACCCCGCUGUUCUGACGGUACCCAAAGAAUAAGCACCGGCUAACUUCGUG